CGACUCUGGUUUCUCUUCAUUACGCACAGCCUUUCGCCUUUUACUAAGACUUCCGUGGAGAGGAACACUUACGAGUUCAACAUAUUUUUGGAAGGCUUUGCUUCUGGCAGAGCC
rnacentral:snRNA from 1 species